rnacentral:piRNA from 1 species
UGAUAAAGCAGUGCUUCAUUAUGACGAAA